GUCGGUGUCGUGACGGUCCAGCCGCAAGCGGUGCCGGUCAUCACCGAACUGCCGGGACGCACCAACGCGUUCCUGAUGGCCCAGGUCCGGGCGCGCGUCGACGGCAUCGUGCUGCGCCGCGAAUUCACCGAAGGCUCCGACGUGAAGGCCGGCCAGCGCCUCUACAAGAUCGA
rfam:Burkholderia glumae PG1 chromosome 2, complete sequence.